rnacentral:rRNA from 1 species
GAUCCUGGCUCAGGAUGAACGCUGGCUACAGGCUUAACACAUGCAAGUCGAGGGGAAACGGCAUUGAGUGCUUGCACUGAAUGGACGUCGACCGGCGCACGGGUGAGUAACGCGUAUCCAACCUUCCCGUUACUGCGGGAUAACCUGCCGAAAGGCAGACUAAUACCGCAUGUUCUUCGAUGACGGCAUCAGAUUCGAAGCAAAGAUCCGUCGGUAACGGAGGGGGAUGCGUCUGAUUAG